rnacentral:rRNA from 1 species
GAUGAACGCUGGCGGCGUGCCUAAUACAUGCAAGUCGAGCGAACGGACGAGAAGCUUGCUUCUCUGAUGUUAGCGGCGGACGGGUGAGUAACACGUGGAUAACCUACCUAUAAGACUGGGAUAACUUCGGGAAACCGGAGCUAAUACCGGAUGAUAUUUUGAACCGCAUGGUUCAAAAGUGAAAGACGGUCUUGCUGUCACUUAUAGAUGGAUCCGCGCUGCAUUAGCUAGUUGGUAAGGUAACGGCUUACCAAGGCAACGAUGCAUAGCCGACCUGAGAGGGUGAUCGGCCACACUGGAACUGAGGCACGGUCCAGACUCCUACGGGAGGCAGCAGUAGGGAAUCUUACGCAAUGGGCGAGAGCCUGACGGAGCAACGCCGCGUGAGUGAUGAAGGUCUUCGGAUCGUAAAACUCUGUUAUUAGGGAAGAACAUAUGUGUAAGUAACUGUGCACAUCUUGACGGUACCUAAUCAGAAAGCCACGGCUAACUACGUG